rnacentral:rRNA from 2 species
CCCUGAUCCAGGCCAUGCCGCGUGUGUGAAGAAGGCCUUUUGGUUGUAAAGCACUUUAAGCAGUGAAGAAGACUCCAUGGUUAAUACCCAUGGACGAUGACAUUAGCUGCAGAAUAAGCACCGGCUAACUCUGUGCCAGCAGCCGCGGUAAUACAGAGGGUGCAAGCGUUAAUCGGAAUUACUGGGCGUAAAGCGAGCGUAGGUGGCUUGAUAAGUCAGAUGUGAAAGCCCCGGGCUUAACCUGGGAACGGCAUCUGAUACUGUUAGGCUAGAGUAGGUGAGAGGAAGGUAGAAUUCCAGGUGUAGCGGUGAAAUGCGUAGAGAUCUGGAGGAAUACCGAUGGCGAAGGCAGCCUUCUGGCAUCAUACUGACACUGAGGUUCGAAAGCGUGGGUAGCAAACAGGAUUAGAUACCCUGGUAGUCCACGCCGUAAACGAUGUCUACUAGUCGUUGGGUCCCUUGAGGACUUAGUGACGCAGCUAACGCAAUAAGUAGACCGCCUGGGGAGUACGGCCGCAAGGUUAAAACUCAAAUGAAUUGACGGGGGCCCGCACAAGCGGUGGAGCAUGUGGUUUAAUUCGAUGCAACGCGAAGAACCUUACCUGGUCUUGACAUAUCUAGAAUCCUGCAGAGAUGCGGGAGUGCCUUCGGGAAUUAGAAUACAGGUGCUGCAUGGCUGUCGUCAGCUCGUGUCGUGAGAUGUUGGGUUAAGUCCCGCAACGAGCGCAACCCUUGUCCUUAGUUACCAGCGGUUUGGCCGGGAACUCUAAGGAUACUGCCAGUGACAAACUGGAGGAAGGCGGGGACGACGUCAAGUCAUCAUGGCCCUUACGACCAGGGCUACACACGUGCUACAAUGGUAGGUACAGAGGGCAGCUACACAGCGAUGUGAUGCGAAUCUCAAAAAGCCUAUCGUAGUCCAGAUUGGAGUCUGCAACUCGACUCCAUGAAGUAGGAAUCGCUAGUAAUCGCGGAUCAGAAUGCCGCGGUGAAUACGUUCCCGGGCCUUGUACACACCGCCCGUCACACCAUGGGAGUUGAUUGCACCAGAAGUGGGUAGCCUAACCUUUUAGGAUGGCGCUCACCAUCGGUGUGGAC